UACGAGUGCCCCAAGCGUUAUCCGGAAUUAUUGGGCGUAAAGGGUGAGUAGGUGGUUGUAUUAGUCUUGUGUUAAAGCCUUCGGCUCAACCGAAGAGAUGCAUAAGAAACGGUACAACUAGAGUGUGUGAGAGGUACGUAGAACUCAUGGAGUAGGGGUGAAAUCCGUUGAUAUCAUGGGGAAUACCAAAAGCGUAGGCAGCGUACUGGCACGUUACUGACACUGAAUCACGAAAGCGUGGGUAGCGAAUGGG
rnacentral:rRNA from 1 species